rnacentral:rRNA from 1 species
AUUGAACGCUGGCGGCAGGCCUAACACAUGCAAGUCGAGCGAGCGGCGGACGGGUGAGUAAUGUAUGGGGACUGCCCGAUAGAGGGGGAUAACUACUGGAAACGGUGGCUAAUACCGCAUACUAUCGGAUAACCCAUAUGGGAUUAGCUAGUAGGUGGGGUAAAGGCUCACCUAGGCGACGAUCUCUAGCUGGUCUGAGAGGAUGAUCAGCCACUGUGGGACUGAGACGCGGCACAGUCUCAGGGGGAGGCAGGUGGGGAAAAUAGCGCAAAAGGGGCGAGAGUGUGAUGCAGACAUGCCGCGUGUAAGAAGGGGGCCUGAGGGUUGUAAAGUUCUUUCAGCGGAGAGACGUUACCCGCAGAAGAAGCACCGGCUAACUCUGCGCCAGGCCGCGGUAAUAC